ACAGGUGCGAUGAAGGGCGGACGGUGGAUGCCUAGGCGCCUUGCUGCCGAGGAAGGACGCAGCCACGCGGCGAAACGCUCUGGGGAGGGGCUGGCACCCGGUGAUCCAGAGGUCUCCGAAUGGGGCAACCCGGCGGCCGUGAUGGGCCGUCACCCUGCUGAGCAGGGAGGGAACCGGGGGAACUGAAACAUCUCAGUACCCCGAGGAAAAGAGAGGAUUCCCGGAGUAGCGGCGAGCGAAACGGGAGGAGCCCAAACCAGGAAGGCGUACGAGCCAGUCGGCGCUGCUUUCCUGGGGUAGAACGCGAUUGUGGGAGGGAGCGACUGAUCCCUCGCCGUGAGCUUGCUGGUCAACCGAAGUGCCCUGGAACGGCGCACCGGAGGGGGUGAGAGUCCCGUAGGUGACGGUCAGCGAGGAACGGUGCAUGAUGAGCGUGAGUACUGCCGGACACGAGACAUCUGGUGGGAACCAGGGCCGACCACGGCCCAAGGCUAAAUACAGCAGGCGACCGAUAGUGAACCAGUACCGUGAGGGAAUGGUGAAAAGCACCCCGACAAGGGGAGUGAAAGAGAUCCUGAAACCGUCCGCUUCCGGCCGGUCGGAGCCUCAGCAAUGGGGUGACGGCGUGCCUUUUGUAGAAUGAGCCAACGAGUGAUUCUGGGUGGCGAGGUUAAGGCGGAGACAGCCGGAGCCGGAGGGAAACCGAGUCCGAAAGGGCGAAUGAGUCGCUCAGAGUCGACCCGAAACCGGGUGAGCUAUCCAUGGGCAGGGUGAAGCGCGUGGAACACAUGCGUGGAGGCCCGAACCCGGAUCGAUUGCAAACGAUCGGGAUGACCUGUGGAUAGGGGUGAAAUGCCAAGCGAACCCGGAGAUAGCUGGUUCUCCCCGAAAUGCAUUUAGGUGCAGCCCUGGGCGGCACUUGUCAUGGAGGUAGCGCACUGGAUUGGCGAUGGGGCAUCCCGCUUACUGACCCAACUCAAACGCCGAAUGCUGUGAUGAGGACCCGGGAGUGAGACUACGGGUGCUAAGAUUCGUGGUCGAAAGGGAAACAACCCAGACCGCCGGCUAAGGUCCCCAAGUCCAGACUAAGUGGGCAAGGCAGUUGCGACGCGUCAACAACCAGGAGGUUGGCUUAGAAGCAGCCACCCUUUAAAGAGUGCGUAAUAGCUCACUGGUCGAAGGUGUCGCGGCGCCGACAAUCCACCGGGGCUCAAGUCUGGCGCCGAAGCCGCGGAUUCCGUUGUUAGACGGAGUGGUAGGGGAGCGUCCCGUUCAGCAGAGAAGGAGGAGCGGAAGCGAAUCUGGAGCGAGCGGGAGUGCGAAUGUUGGCAUGAGUAGCGAGAGGGAAGUGCGAAUCUUCCCCACCGAAUGCCCCAGGGUUCCGCAGCCAUGCUGAUCAGCUGCGGGUGAGUCGGGCCUAAGCCGAGGCCGAAAGGCGUAGGUGAUGGACAACUGGUUCAGAUUCCAGUACCGCUCGUUGUUGUUUGAGCGAUGGGGGGACGCAGGAGGAUAGGUUCGGGGCCGCGAGGCCUCCAAGCAUGUAGGGAGCGACCAUAGGCAAAUCCGUGGUUGCGGUGACCGAGGUGUGAUGGGAAGGAGCGGGCUACGGCCCAACCCGAACGGAUUGAGUCCAUACUGCCAAGAAAAGCCUCUAGUGAGACAACGAGCGCCCGUACCGCAAACCGACACAGGUGGGCAGGUAGAGCAUACCAAGGUGGACGAGAGAACCUCCGUCAAGGAACUCGGCAAAUUAGCCCCGUAACUUCGGGAGAAGGGGCACCCUGGCAGCGUGAAGCUCUUUACGAGUGGAGCGUGAGAGGGUCGCAGCGAGCAGGCCCAGGCGACUGUUUACCAAAAACACCGGUCCCUGCGAACGCAUACGCGGACGUAUAGGGGCUGAGACCUGCCCAGUGCCGGAAGGUUAAAGGGAGGGGUUCACGCUCCGAACUGAAGCCCCGGUAAACGGCGGCCGUAACUAUAACGGUCCUAAGGUAGCGAAAUUCCUUGUCGGGUAAGUUCCGACCCGCACGAAAGGUAGAACGAUCUGGGCGCUGUCUCGACAGGGGACUCGGC
rnacentral:rRNA from 1 species